ensembl:lncRNA
GGUGAAUCCCAAGUAUAGGUAUAGGUAUAGGUAUAGGUACAGGUAUAGGAAUAGGUAUAGGUACAGGUAUAGGUAUAGGUAUAGGUAUAGGUAUAGGAAUAGGAAUAGGUAUAGGAAUAGGUAUAGGUAUAGGAAUAGGUAUAGGUAUAGGUAUAGGAAUAGGAAUAGGUAUAGGUAUAGGAAUAGGUAUAGAUAUAGGAAUAGGUAUAGGUAUAGGAAUAGGAAUAGAUAUAGGUAUAGGAAUAGAUAUAGGAAUAGGUAUAGGUAUAGAUGUUUUGUGGUGCUAGGGAUCAAACCAGGAUUUCGCAGACACUGGGCAAACACUAGCCCUGAGUUAUUACAUCCCCAGCCAGAAGGUACUAAUGUUUUAGUUUUCUCUGGAUAAACUUUAUGAAUAAAGUUAUCAAGACAGGCUUCUCCUUUUACAUUGAAGUCUAACUAAAAACUCAAGCAGUUUAGAGCAUAGAUAUUAUAACUGUACAGUGGCG